UAUUGCAACGUGGCAGCCGUGCCGUCAAAGCUGGAGGCGGGAGCGGCUGACGGCCCCCCUAUGUCCCACAAUGCCUUGCGGGCCGUUCGGCCCCUCUGUACGCAGUCGCUCCGGCCUUCUCCAGCCCAUCACGUGAUUCGAGUCUCUGAAGUCGAGCGUCCGAGGCGGAUUUUAUUCUUAUUCUCCCGCUCCCUCCGCCCCCGUCUUUUCCAGUUUGGGAAACCGCGGUCUAGAGCUGUCAAGCGACCUGUCCAGCCUGCUAAUGUAGUUCUCAAACUUUACUGUACGUCGAGGAUGUCGGGAGCCCUCCUUUGAAAAAUGCAGAUUCAAGUAUGUGGAGCCCACGGACGGGCAUGUUAAAUCAGCAGCUGUGAUGCUCAGUGGCCACUCAGGAAGCACUUUCCUACGGGCUUCUCUCACGGAGAGUUUGGGCUUCCUCACAACAUGGCGACCUCAGGACAGCCACACUACAGCGCUUCCACGGGAGCUGAAGACUUCCAGGGCAAGUAUUCUGGCUAAGAAGCUGGAAGCUGAACGGCGUUCUGCGAUCUGGCCUCAGAAGGCAGAGAACUCAAGGACAUCACACUCACCAUCUUCUGAGGAACUGUUGUGCUGCAAAGGGAAGGAACUCAUUCAGCGUUGCUGGAUUCCAAGGAAGAGUGGAUUGCAAUUCAUUGUGCAGAGGAGACUUUCACCAGGGAGUGCUGUCCAGCAGGGGCUGGGGUGAGCCCCCCGUCAUGGAGGAGUGCAAGUAUCGGCAAGGGAUAUUUAUGAAAGGACUCAUCCCCUGACACUCCCGUGGGGACACUACUGCAUGGCUUCUCAGCCUCCCGUCCCUCCUCUCUGAGAAUCUCUGCCUUUGCGAUUGUUUGAAAUGGGAUGCUAGGAGUUGAGAAAGCAAUAAAAGAAAUCCACUGAAGUGAGGACCAAGCUAUAAAAAAACCUUUAUUUCAUGUA